UACGUAGGGGGCAAGCGUUGUCCGGAUUUAUUGGGCGUAAAGAGCGUGUAGGCGGCCAGACAGGUCUGCUGUGAAAACUCGAGGCUCAACCUCGAGACGCCGGUGGAAACCGUCUGGCUAGAGUCCGGAAGAGGAGAGUGGAAUUCCUGGUGUAGCGGUGAAAUGCGCAGAUAUCAGGAAGAACACCUGUGGCUAAGGCGGCUCUCUAGUACGGUACUGACGCUGAGACGCGAAAGCGUGGGGAGCGAACAGG
rnacentral:rRNA from 1 species